rnacentral:sRNA from 12 species
GGCCCGCUUGCCGAACUGUCGCCCGUCGAGGCGUGCGUUCCGGUAGCACCGGAUAGGCGGCGGGCAUCGU